UGGAAUUGAUUCGAUGUCUCAGUCACUAGCGUUGGCCAAAAAACCACAUAUAGUAAUAGCUACUCCUGGCCGACUGAUUGACCAUUUGGAAAAUACCAAAGGCUUCAACUUAAGAGCUCUUAAGUACUUGGUCAUGGAUGAAGCAGACCGGAUACUGAACAUGGAUUUUGAGACAGAGGUUGACAAGAUCCUCAAAGUGAUUCCCCGAGAUCGGAAAACAUUUCUCUUUUCUGCUACCAUGACCAAGAAGGUGCAAAAACUUCAGCGUGCAGCUCUCAAGAACCCUGUGAAGUGCGCUGUUUCCUCUAAGUACCAGACUGUUGAGAAACUGCAGCAGUAUUACCUUUUCAUUCCCUCUAAAUUCAAGGUACAGUGUUGACUCUGUCAUCGCUGCCAUUCCUGUCCUCACCAAGCACCUGACCAGCCGAGGGCUGCACGUCCUGCCCCACUUACAUUUAUUGCAGAUAAAGUGAAUAUGCCAGGAAUCCGCGGCAUUAAAGCCCAGGGGAAGCCCUGAUAUAAUGGUGGAGUCUCUCCCCAGAACACCCCACCUGCGUCUGCUUAGUUCCUGGCUACUUCGGAAAGGCCUUGCUUGGUUGCUGAGCGCAGAUCUUGUGUGUGACCUCGGGAUGCAUUGGGUGCUUGGUUCACAGAGUUGGCACAGAGCCAGCCAGGUUGGCGGUGCACGCCUGUCCCCAGUGCACGCCUGUCCCCAGUGCAUGCCUG
rnacentral:lncRNA from 1 species